GGGGAGGAGAGAGACACUCUAGUUAAGACUGCCUUCAUGGAUCACUCUCCCUCACAUAAAGAGACACAACUAUGUGGAGAGCAAGGGGAGUGAGACGCAGAGAAACAGAGUGCGAGAGAGAUAGGGAGAUAGAGGGAGAGAGAGAAGGAGAGAUAGGGAGAGAGGGAGAGAGAGGGAGAUGUCGAAGGGGGGAGAGAAAGAAGGUGCAGCCGGAGGACACAGGAGUGUUUUCUGGUCGUUUUAUUGAGGAAAAAGAGCACAAAGCGCCAAUUGAGAGAGGAUGAACGACUACAGCACAGCACGGGGCAGGAACAUCAUGAAUAAAAGAGAGCGAGAGGGUGAGAGAGAGAGAGAGAGAGAGAGAGAGAGAGAGAGAGAGAGAGAGAGAGAGAGAGAGAGAGAGAGAGAGACAGAAAGCAGGAGAGAGAGAGAGAUUGGGGGGGGAAGGAGAGAGCAUGAAGACAGAGCAAAUGAGAGAGCAGGAGAGAGGCAAAGCUUGCAGUGAGCUUGAAGGAAGACUAAAGUGUGUUGAUAGAGGAAGUGUCGGUGACAUGCGGGCCAUGUGCUCAGGUCAGAACUCUCUCACGGGAGCAAUGCGUCUACGGAUCCUGCAGUCGGGUCGGUGGACCGGCCGCUAUGGAGCGCCGUUCCCGUACCCCCGUCCUCCACCCGGGCGGCGGAACGGGAAACCCGCACGCCGCGCACGAGGGACGCUCCUCAUGAUCUUACCAGUGUGAAGGAGAAGACUGUGAGCUGAUACCGGAUAGAGACUCAGCGAUGGAGUGCAGCCGAUGGACCAGAGUCAUUCCUUUGUCCAAUGGGAAACCUCUCCGACCACUGCAGUCGAAUUAACUAGAAAAGGUGUGCUUGUCAGAGUGGCCAAUGGUGGUCUGAAGAAGAGGAAGAGGAAGAUGGGAUGAACAUCGUGUCCCGCUGCCUCUCGGCGCUGUCAGUUGCUCAGUAGGCAGUGUAGAUCCUGUUUAGCAAUCAGCAGCUACAUCUGGCUACUGGGUCUCUGAAGGCGCUGCCCACUUCCUGGGGAGCAUACCAUCAGCUUGCCAUUGGCUGCCGGUGCAUUCCGUCGAUUGGCUGAGAGGAGGAUGUCUCGAGAGUGCUCUGCCGUGUGACCUUACAGACAGGAUGUGCUCAAUGUGUGUCCCGAUUUUGCAACGGGCCCCAAAAAUACUGUUUGAUUGUUCUACCCCUUCCUUUAGGAAUCUUGUACACUCCCCCUCCAUCCUCUCAUCUUAUCUCAUUCUUCUAGCUGCCAAUAAAAUAAUUGCGUUUUUUUCAACGCACUAAAAAAAUGUGUGCCAAUGGCGCUGGACAAAAGAAACACUUGAAUGAUGGAUUUGCAGGUUGUCUGGUGGCCGUGGUGUCAAACGCCGUUGCUUUAUCCUGAACCUGGCAUACAAUGUAGAUAUCUGUGUUGUCCAAUUCUACAGCUACAUUGUCUGCUGGGUUUCUGGCUAGCAAUAUAAGCAGCUUUAAAUGCCCCUGGAAACUCAAUAGGGUAAGUGUCUCAUCAAUCAGGUCUGCCAUUGUGUAUGAAAUGCUGAAACAGUGACUAAUUCAAUAAAAAUAAACUAUUUCUGCUGAAAAGAUUGAUUUGGUUAUUUUCUCGAGAAGAAAAAAGUCUGUUGGAUGGAGAAGAGGCUCACUGAGCUCUGGAAUCCGAAUAAUCUGAAUUUUACUCCACAGUGCUUAUCUGUCCUCUGACUUUAUCUCCAGCGAGGUUUGCCAGGAAUAUUCUGGUAACUCAGCAAAAUACUGGGGAGGGUGUCUGUCAGGGUGCUGUCAGACUCGCUCCCUAUUAGUGGCUUUCCGCCUA
ensembl:lncRNA